AGGUUUCUUCACGACCAUAGCUACGGUGCCGCCGUCACGGACCAGCUGUGGCAAUCAUUCCAAACGCAACUAGAUAACGAUAAAGUAGACAUCGAUAUAAAGAUGGUCAUGGACACAUGGACGCUACAGAUGGGCUAUCCACUUAUCAACAUCAGCAGGGACUACGCGACAGGCGAUAUAUACGCGACCCAGACACAUUUCCUUAAUCAGGAGGGGAACGUUAGUGAGGCGAGUCCAUUCAAUUUCACGUGGGAGGUUCCACUAACACUCUUAUAUUCGGCAAAGCCUUCUGAGAUACAUCUGCAAUGGAUGCAUAAAUGCGAUG